UGUGCUUUUAGCCGAUGAUGCCUUUGCUCUAAAAUACUACUUAAUGAAACCUGACUCUCAUCUAAGACUAUCACCAAGCGAACUUUAAUACAACAACAUACUUUCGUUGAAAAUGCUUUUGGCAUACUUGCGAACCGUUUUCGAGUUUUAUUUUCACCCAUUCAUCGCGCUCCAGCUGCAGCCAUUCAGAUUGUAUUAUCUUGCGUAUGUGUGCACAACUUUCUAAGAACAGAAAAUGUGAAACUACGUUUGACGCCAUUUCCGAAAGUGAAAUAGAUGCAAUAAUAGAUAACAACUAUACAACAACCGCUUCUGAAAGAAAUGCGUCAAAAAGGAGCGCUGAAGAAAUAAGAAAAACUUUCGAAAACUAUUUUUCUGCGGUAAAUUAAAAUAUCGUUUCAUUGUUUAAAUAAACCAAAACUUUUCGGGUUGGAAAUUUUCCAUACCAGUAGAAGCAACAAUUGGUUUAUUUGGUGAUUAAAUAAAUGAGUACAAUGUCUUCAAUUUAUGUACAUACCUACUAGCUAAUACCUGCCUACUUAGCGCAACCAAAUAUUUUAAUGAAAGUAAUAAUAAGGUAAAAAAGUGGUAAGAAUAAUCAAAAUACAUAUUCACUCGGCAAAAUAAUAACUCUGCCUCCUUUCAGUAAAGUUUGACUAUUUUCCUUUUAUUUAUUGAACUUUAAUAAUUUACUUAUAAAAAUAUACCCCAUUAAUUAAAAAUCUUUAAACUUGGCAAUAUGUGGUGCGUUUAUAAUUAUGACACGGGAUGUAUAGUUAACUCUACAAACAAAACCAUAUCAAUAAAACUUUUAAACUUUAAACGAAAUUCAGGAAAACUCAU